rnacentral:rRNA from 1 species
AUUGAACGCUGGCGGCAGGCCUAACACAUGCAAGUCGAGCGGCAGCGGGAAAGUAGCUUGCUACUUCUGCCGGCGAGCGGCGGACGGGUGAGUAAUGCCUGGGAAAUUGCCCAGUCGAGGGGGAUAACAGUUGGAAACGACUGCUAAUACCGCAUACGCCCUACGGGGGAAAGAAGGGGACCUUCGGGCCCUGCACGCUUGGAUAUGCCCAGGUGGGAUUAGCUAGUUGGUGAGGUAAUGGCUCACCAAGGCGACGAUCCCUAGCUGGUCUGAGAGGAUGAUCAGCCACACUGGAACUGAGACACGGUCCAGACUCCUACGGGAGGCAGCAGUGGGGAAUAUUGCACAAUGGGGGAAACCCUGAUGCAGCCAUGCCGCGUGUGUGAAGAAGGCCUUCGGGUUGUAAAGCACUUUCAGCGAGGAGGAAAGGUUGAUACCUAAUACGUAUCAACUGUGACGUUACUCGCAGAAGAAGCACCGGCUAACUCCGUGCCAGCAGCCGCGGUAACAC